UACGUAGGCAGCAAGCGUUGUUCGGAGUUAUUGGGCGUAAAGAGCGUGUAGGCGGCUUGGUAAGUCCGCUGUGAAAGUCCAGGGCUCAACCCUGGAAUGCCGGUGGAAACUGUCGAGCUCGAGUCCGGAAGAGGAGUGUGGAAUUCCUGGUGUAGCGGUGAAAUGCGCAGAUAUCAGGAGGAACACCAAUGGCGAAGGCAGCACUCUGGGACGGUACUGACGCUGAGACGCGGAAGCGUGGGGAGCAAACAGG
rnacentral:rRNA from 1 species